UACGGAGGGUGCGAGCGUUGUUCGGAAUCACUGGGCGUAAAGAGCGUGUAGGCGGUCCGGUAAGUCAGCUGUGAAAGUCAAGGGCUCAACCCUUGAAUGCCGGUUGAUACUGUCGGGCUAGAGUCCGGAAGAGGCGAGUGGAAUUCCCGGUGUAGCGGUGAAAUGCGCAGAUAUCGGGAGGAACACCAAUGGCGAAGGCAGCUCGCUGGGACGGUACUGACGCUGAGACGCGAAAGCGUGGGGAGCAAACAGG
rnacentral:rRNA from 1 species